rnacentral:lncRNA from 1 species
UCACAUUCACUUUCUUCUACAUCAUAUUCGAACUUGUCCAAAUAAAUAAUAAAGUCAUCUCGACUCAAAGAAGUCAUAUAAGUCUCAUACAAUUAAUAUAGAACAUAUAUUCUAAUGUCACAUCCUAUCAGAGCGUGGUGUUCCCGUGUCCUCUAGCAUGAGGUUCUUCAUAGUCAUCCACCUAUUCAUCUGCUCCCCCGAACACAAGUUCAAGAUCAUCACAGGAUCCAAACACAACAACACACAGGGAGUGAGUUAUCACAUUCCUAGCUAAUAGAGAAACAAGACAAUUAAAUAUACAUAUUAUAUAAAUGAGAUACCACUUACUUAAACAUAGCUCACGUAACUUCACCACUUCGUCAUUCAAAAUUCACUUUUCAAUUAUCAAUCACAUUACACAAGAAUCUCACACUUCGAUCAAGAUAUAAUAACACAUCAAUUAGCAAGCAUAUGCAAUAGUUAUGCUAAGACUCAAUUCUAUAUGCAAUGUGGUACCAUGUCAGUGAAAAACCACCCUGGGGCGCUUAGGAGUACAUAACAAGACACACCACACAAUGGGUUUGUCAGGUCACUCUCACUAAGUAAGAUCAUAGGGAGACCAGUCAGGGUCACGAUGUUUUGCGAGAAUGCUCCAACCAUAUGAGAUCAGCAUAGGCUUAAAGGAGCACUCAAACCCGGUGACCCCCAAGGCCUACACUCCGAAGAGUCCGUCAGGGCCUCUCCCUCCUGAUUCAGGUCCAACCCCUAAAAUAAUUUUUGCAUGCAGACACUGCUCAUGAAUUAUACAAUACCCACGACCUUACACUCGUGUUUUAAACACGUUCAACACAAUUGCGCUACGAUUUAACACUGGUUCCUAAAUAGGAAACCUACAUUUUCUCUUUAACACUGCGCAUCAACGCUUUUCUCAAGAUAACGCUGGUCGGGCUAUUGUACAAUUUAUAGCUUACAACACAAGUAAUUUCACAUCAAGUGUUAACUACACACUUAUCCACAACUAGAACUCAUUCACAAUUUCACAUCUCAUAGUGUCACAAUCCACCAUCACAUGUUUACACGUAUCUCACAAAUUAACACAUGUUCAACUUUACACUUAUACUUAAUCUCAAUAACAAUAUUAUAAUCUCAAAGCAACAUGUUAUUCUACAAUUUAUCACAUACUCACAAUUUGAAUUAUCAUUUCAUAUCCUCAAUAUAACAAUUUAUAUAAAAGACUAUCAUAACAUGAGGACUAAAACCCCUCAAAUAAUAUUACACAAUUAUAUCCAAAUCAUAGGUCCAAAUAUACAAAUAUCAAGAGCACAAUUUAUCAAGCAAUUUUCAUCAGGACAUCAAUAUUUUAUUUAUAAUUAUAAAGGAAAAAUUGCAAUUUAACAAACAUCCCAAAAUAAAAUCCAAAUUUAAUCCUCUAAGGAUCCCUACACAUGUUCUCACUAAUUCCCAACUGUGAAUAACUCAUCCCUUACCUCUAAGCGGGCUCACGUGUCUUCAGCCAGCGAUAACAACAUCUCUAGCGGUUCCCGAAAAUUCUUUCAAUUAUUCAUCCGACUGCUCCGAUAGAAUUCCCAAACGUCAGAGAGACGGAGAAGAGAUUGAAACCUCCACUUGUACUGUCUUCAUACGAUUCCUUUUUCUCCCUCCACGAUUAUUAUCUCGCAAAUCCCAACGGUGGAAGCGUGCGGAAUUGAAUUUCGAACAACAUAUCCAAAUUUCACAAUAAUCCAACGGUUAACGAAACCGGGAUCGUAGUUUUACCAAGACAGCUCUGGGUUUCUGCGGGAAAGAAAAAGGCUAAAAUGCGAAGGGUUUUUCUCUCAGUUCAGACACUAUAUCAAAAUUCCCAACGGUGAGAAUGCUCGGAAUUGUGUUGCGAACAUGAUACUCAAAUUUCACGACGAUCCAACGGUGAACGGGUUUGAGAUCGUCAUUUUUCUGAGACUGGUUUGGUGGGCUGCGGGAAAAAGAAAGGGUUUUGAGAGGAGAAG